GAUGAACGCUAGCGGCAGGCCUAACACAUGCAAGUCGAGGGGCAGCACGUAAAGAUGCAGCAAUGUAGCUUUCGGUGGCGACCGGCGGACGGGUGCGUAACGCGUAUGCAACCUACCCUUUACUCGGGGAUAACGGAUGGAAACGUCCACUAAUACCUGGUAAUAUCAGAUAGGGCAUCCUCUUUGGUUGAAAGAAUUUUGGUAUAGGAUGGGCAUGCGUAACAUUAGUUAGUUGGUGAGGUAACGGCUCACCAAGGCUACGAUGUUUAGGGGGACUGAGAGGUUAACCCCCCACACUGGAACUGAGACACGGUCCAGACUCCUACGGGAGGCAGCAGUGAGGAAUAUUGGUCAAUGGGCGGAAGCCUGAACCAGCCAUGCCGCGUGCAGGAAGACGGCUCUAUGAGUUGUAAACUGCUUUUAUACGAGGGUAAUAGUAUCUACGUGUAGGUAUUUGAAAGUAUCGUAUGAAUAAGGAUCGGCUAACUCCGUGCCAGCCGCCGCAGUAA
rnacentral:rRNA from 1 species